UACGGGGGAUGCGAGCGUUAUCCGGAUUUAUUGGGUUUAAAGGGUGCGUAGGCGGACUGUUAAGUCAGCGGUAAAAGCCCGGGGCUCAACCCCGGCGAGCCGUUGAAACUGGCUGUCUUGAGAUGUCGAGAGGUAUGCGGAAUGCGCAGUGUAGCGGUGAAAUGCUUAGAUAUUGCGCAGAACUCCGAUUGCGAAGGCAGCAUACCGGCGGCGAUCUGACGCUGAGGCACGAAAGCGUGGGUAUCGAACAGG
rnacentral:rRNA from 1 species